rnacentral:lncRNA from 1 species
AGAAGAGACAUAGACACACAGGGAGGAGACAGCCUUGUGAUGAUGAAGGCGAUGAUUGGAGUGAUGAAGCUACAAGCAGAGGUUCCUCCUGGAAAAGGAACGUAAAUCUUGUCAGUGCCUGAGGAUCGGAUACACACUGAAUUGUCUGACAACUUGGGGGUGGAAGGACACUCUAAGGAAGCCAACUACAGAGGAGCAGGACACAAAAAUUCAUUGUAAGACAGAAACUUCCUUAUGAAAGGAGCACACUAAUCAGACAGGCUGCUGUAGGUGCCUUCACUGUAGGCAGCUGCCUGGAAGGACGAAUUCUGGGGAGGCGGAAGCUGAAAUGAGCUCUGCAGUGGAUGCACCUGGAUCCAGAUCCCAGCUUAGCUACUCUCUAGCUGUGACAAUAUGGGCGAAUCACUUCAUGACUCAGUUUCCUGCUCUGUAAAAUGGAGAUUAAAAAAAAACCCUUU